AGUAAAAGUCGUAACAAGGUUUCCGUAGGUGAACCUGCGGAAGGAUCAUUAUCGUACAAAAUGUGAGAGGCACGCAAGGGUUGUCGCUGACUUUUAACACAAAAGUCGUGCACGCCGGAGUGUGUCCUCUCGCAUAAAAUCCAUCUCACCCUUUUGUGCACCACCGCGUGGGCACCCUUCAGGAUCGAGCCGAUCCGGGAGGGGGCUUGCGUUUUCACACAAACCCCCCCUUUUAAAAGUGUAGAAUGACCCCAUUUUUGCGAUAACACGCAAUCAAUACAACUUUCAACAACGGAUCUCUUGGCUCUCGCAUCGAUGAAGAACGCAGCGAAAUGCGAUACGUAAUGUGAAUUGCAGAAUUCAGUGAAUCAUCGAAUCUUUGAACGCACCUUGCGCCCCUUGGUAUUCCGAGGGGCACACCCGUUUGAGUGUCGUGAAUAUCUCAACCUUCUCGGUUUCUUCUGGACACCGAAGGAGGCUUGGACUUUGGAGGCCUUUGCUGGCGUCUCUCUCUUCUGAAACCCAGCUCCUCUUAAAUGAAUUAGCGGGGUCCUCUUUGCUGAUCCUCGACGUGUGAUAAGAUGUUUCCAUGUCUUGGUUUCUGGCUCUGUUGCUCCUGGGACCCGCUUCUAACCGUCUCAACCUUGCAUCGAGACAAUGUUUGAGCGCGUCUCCCUUCUCGGGAAAUGCUCUCAACCCCACGAACCCUUGACCUCAAAUCGG
rnacentral:rRNA from 1 species